GUUUUAAUAGUUUAAAAAAAACCUUGGUCUUGUAAAUCAAUAAUAAGACACUAUUCUUUUAAAACU
rnacentral:tRNA from 1 species